rfam:Clostridium halophilum strain M1 genome assembly, contig: G325DRAFT_scaffold00001.1
GUUAAUGAAGCAAAGAUUCCAGAUAUACAAUCUGGAUAUGAAGGAAUGGCAACGACUCUUCUUUGUGCUCUAGCCGGAUCUAAUUAUAUACAUGAUGCUG